rnacentral:rRNA from 1 species
AUACGGGGGAUACGAGCGUUAUCCGGAUUUAUUGGGUUUAAAGGGCGCGCAGGCGGACCGUUAAGUCAGGGGUGAAAAUCCCGUGCCCAACAUCGACCGGGCCUUUGAUACUGGCGGAGCUGCGUGUGAUAGACGGCGCCGGAAUGUGGUGUGUAGCGGUGGAAUGCUUAGAUAUGCCACAGAACACCGAUCGAGAAGUCAGGUCGCGAGUUCACAACUGACGCUCAUGCACGAAAGCGUGGGGAUCAAACAGGAUUAGAUACCCUGGUAGUCCACGCUGUAAACGAUGAUCACUCGUUGUUGGGGGGCGACUCUCAGCGGCCAAGCGAAAGCGAUAAGUGAUCCACCUGGGGAGUACGAUCGCAAGGUUGAAACUCAAAUGAAUUGACGGGG